GACGGAGGAGGCAAGCGUUGUCCGGAAUCAUUGGGCGUAAAGAGCACGUAGGCGGUUUUUCAAGUCAUAUGUGAAAACUUCAGGCUUAACCUGAUGAUUGCAUGUGAUACUGGAUAACUUGAGUACAGCAGAGGAAAGUGGAAUUCCUGGUGUAGCGGUGAAAUGUGCAGAUAUCAGGAAGAACACCGGUGGCGAAGGCGGCUUUCUGGGCUGUUACUGACGCUGAGGUGCGAAAGCUAGGGGAGCGAACAGGAUUAGAUACCCCCGUA
rnacentral:rRNA from 1 species